rnacentral:lncRNA from 1 species
AUAAGACAGCUUCUCAGCUUUCAGCUUUACUUUAUGGUUUUAACUAUCAAAAGAAGCAAGCCAUCUGAAGAUUUGCCUGAGACUGAAGGAUCCACUUCUGCGAUGGCUCCCUCAGGACUUAUAAUGCAGAUGGAACCAGAUUGAGAAAACCAACCAACUAACCAACGAACCAACCAACCAACCAACCAACCAGCCAACCAACCAACCAACCAACCAGCCAACCAACAAACCAACAUGAUGGCUGAACCAGACAAGAGAAGUCCUGAAGUAAAACACCCAUCAAUUACCGGAAUCUGUGCCUGCCAUACAUUGAAGUCUCUGACUUCUUUAUUCCACAUGACUCUGCAAAUCUGUGUCUGAACUUAUAUUCUCCUGAAACCAGAACGGAUGAAACUCAUUAGAUGCUCCAGCCUGAGGGAUUAAUGUUUACCUUGAUUUAAUGUCUCAUCAGAAGCAUGACAUCCACAGCACUCUGGCUGCAGCAGGAUUAAAUGAAGCAUGGCCGUUUCUUCAAGACAGACUUAAACUUCAAGCCUUUAGCCCUAGAGGGAACGGGCAGGAGAUGAAGAGAGAGUAAAAAUCUAUUGAACUACCAA